AUUGAACGCUGGCGGCAGGCCUAACACAUGCAAGUCGAGCGAUAACGGUCUCCGGACCUAUUAAAGCGGCGGACGGGUGAGUAACGCGUGGGAAUCUACCCAGUAGCGGGGGACAACAGUUGGAAACGACUGCUAAUACCGCAUACGCCCUACGGGGGAAAGGAGGGGACUCUUCGGAGCCUUCCACUAUUGGAUGAGCCCGCGUGAGAUUAGAUAGUUGGUGGGGUAAUGGCCUACCAAGUCGACGAUCUCUAGCUGGUCUGAGAGGAUGAUCAGCCACACUGGAACUGAGACACGGUCCAG
rnacentral:rRNA from 1 species